UGUGGAUGUGGGAGAUGCUACACUCACUGGCCCUCAAAUACUAAAGGUGUCAUUUACAACCAGUAGCCAAGGUUUGCGCUCUGUAUUGUAGUAGUACCACUACGACAGUUAUGAGAAAGGAGGAAGGCAAGGCAUAAAGGAUGCUUCAUUGCUUAAAGUCUAAUGUUGUACUUUUUCAUUGCAUAAAGUCUACUGUGAUUCUGAACUUCUCAUGUAUUCAGAGCUGCAGAACCUUGCAUAUGGAGAAGCAAUGUGUUUAUCUUUAAAAUUAUAUUGAUACUGCUAUGUGUAAUAUGUUUUCCUGCAUCUUAUAUAUGGCCUACUUGUUGGA